AACGAACGCUGGCGGCAGGCCUCAAACAUGCAAGUCUAGGGGGUGCAGCAAUGCAUCACCGGCGGACGGGUGCGUAACGCGUGGGAAUAUACCUUUGGUUCGGAACAACUGCGGGAAACUGCAGCUAAUACCGAAUGUGCCCUAACGGGGAAAGAUUUAUCGCCAAAGGAUUAGCCCGCGUAGGAUUAGCUAGUUGGUGAGGUAAUGGCUCACCAAGGCUCCGAUCCUUAGCNGUUCUGAGAGGAAGAUCAGCCACACUGGGACUGAGACACGGCCCAGACUCCUACGGGAGGCAGCAGUUGGGAAUCUUGGACAAUGGGGAAACCCUGAUCCAGCCAUGCCGCGUGAGUGAUGAAGGCC
rnacentral:rRNA from 1 species